rnacentral:rRNA from 1 species
UUUCCUUCGGGAGAGCGAGUAGAGUGGCGGACGGGUGAGUAACGCGUAGGUAAUCUACCUUUAAGUGGGGGAUAGCCCUCGGAAACGGGGAUUAAUACCGCAUGUGUUCCUUCGGGAAUAAAGGCGGCCUCUGAUAUAAGCUGUCGCUUAAAGAUGAGCCUGCGUCCUAUUAGCUAGUUGGUGCGGUAAUGGCGUACCAAGGCGAUGAUUGGUAGGCGUCCUUAACGGGUGGUCGCCCACACUGGGAUUGAGAUACUGCCCAGACUCCUACGGGAGGCAGCAGUCGAGAAUAGUCUACAAUGGACGAAAGUCUGAUAGUGCAACGCCGCGUGGGUGAAGAAGCAUUUCGGUGUGUAAAACCCUUUUCUUUGUGAGCAAUGCCCUUAUGGUUAAUAGCUAUAGGGGAGAGAUAUUAGCAGAGGAAUAAGCCACGGCUAACUCCGUGCCAGCAGCCGCGGUAAUACGGGGGUGGCAAGCGUUGUCCGGAAUCACUAGGCGUAAAGGGCAAGUAGGCGGAAUGAACAGUCAGGUGUUAAAGGCAUUGGCUCAACCAAUGUACGGCAUUUGAUACUUUCAUUCUAGAAUUUGACAUGGGAAGACAGAAUUCCUGGUGUAGCGGUGGAAUGCGCAGAUAUCAGGAGGAAUACCGGAGGCGAAGGCGGUCUUCUGGGUCAAAAUUGACGCUGAAUUGCGAAGGUGUGGGUAUCAAACAGGAUUAGAUACCCUGGUAGUCCACACAGUAAACGAUGUGCACUAGAUGUCGGGGGAGAGAAUUCCUCGGUGUCGCAGCUAACGCGUUAAGUGCAUCGCCUGGGGAGUACGAUCGCAAGAUUAAAACUCAAAGGAAUUGACGGGGGCCCGCACAAGCGGUGGAGCAUGUGGUUUAAUUCGAUGCAACGCGAAGAACCUUACCUGGACUUGACAUCCUGAGAAGUUAAUAGAGAUAUAAAUGUGCCCUUCGGGGAACUCAGUGACAGGUGCUGCAUGGCUGUCGUCAGCUCGUGCCGUGAGGUGUUGGGUUAAGUCCCGCAACGAGCGCAACCCCUAUCUUUAGUUGCCAGCGAGUAAUGUCGGGGACUCUAGAGAGACUGCCAGUGUAAUAAACUGGAGGAAGGUGGGGACGACGUCAAGUCAUCAUGGUCCUUAUGUCCAGGGCUACACACGUGCUACAAUGGCCGGUACAGAGGGAAGCAAUACCGCGAGGUGGAGCCAAUCUCAGAAAGCCGGUCUCAGUUCGGAUUGGAGUCUGCAACUCGACUCCAUGAAGUUGGAAUCGCUAGUAAUCGCGUAUCAGCAUAACGCGGUGAAUACGUUCCCGGGCCUUGUACACACCGCCCGUCAAGUCAGCCGAGUUGAUUGCACCUGAAGGAGGU